rnacentral:tRNA from 1 species
GGAGAGGUUCCCGAGUGGUCAAAGGGGGCAGACUGUAAAUCUGUUGGCUCAGCCUUCGAAGGUUCGAAUCCUUCCCUCUCCACCA